GUUCACCCCCCUUCCUUUCCCAUGGAGAGUCUGUUGCACGAUGGAACGAAACAGAGUGCCAGCCCCA
ensembl:lncRNA